rnacentral:rRNA from 1 species
CACGUAGGCACCAAGCGUUGUCCGGAUUUAUUGGGCGUAAAGAGCUCGUAGGCGGUUCAGUAAGUCGGGUGUGAAAACUCUGGGCUCAACCCAGAGACGCCACCCGAUACUGCUGUGACUUGAGUACGGUAGGGGAGUGGGGAAUUCCUGGUGUAGCGGUGAAAUGCGUAGAUAUCUGGAGGAAUACCGGUGGCGAAGGCGGCAUCCUGGACCGGCAUUGACGCUGAUGAGCGAAAGCUAGGGGAGCAAACGGG